rnacentral:rRNA from 1 species
GAUGAACGCUGGCGGCGUGCUUAACACAUGCAAGUCGAACGGUGAAGGCGGAGCUUGCUCUGCUGGGUCAGUGGCGAACGGGUGAGUAACACGUGAGCAAUCUGCCCCUGACUCUGGGAUAAGCGCUGGAAACGGCGUCUAAUACUGGAUACGAGCUGCGAAGGCAUCUUCAGCAGCUGGAAAGAACUUCGGUCAGGGAUGAGCUCGCGGCCUAUCAGCUUGUUGGUGAGGUAACGGCUCACCAAGGCGUCGACGGGUAGCCGGCCUGAGAGGGUGACCGGCCACACUGGGACUGAGACACGGCCCAGACUCCUACGGGAGGCAGCAGUGGGGAAUAUUGCACAAUGGGCGAAAGCCUGAUGCAGCAACGCCGCGUGAGGGACGACGGCCUUCGGGUUGUAAACCUCUUUUAGCAGGGAAGAAGCGAAAGUGACGGUACCUGCAGAAAAAGCGCCGGCUAACUACGUG